GAAGAUACAGCUCAGUGGUAAAGUAUAUGCUUAGCAUGCAUGAGGUCCUGGGUUCAAUCCCCAGUACCUCCA
rnacentral:tRNA from 1 species